AACGAACGCUGGCGGCGUACUUAACACAUGCAAGUCGAACGCGAAAGUCACCUUCGGGUGGCGAGUAGAGUGGCGCACGGGUGAGUAACGCGUAGAUAAUCUACCCCUGUAUUUGGGAUAACAUCGGGAAACUGGUGCUAAUACCGGAUACACUCAUAAAUAUGCGAAUAUUACUGAGGAAAGGAGACCUCUUCUUGAAAGUUUCUGUACAGGGAUGAGUCUGCGUACCAUUAGCUAGUAGGUGGGGUAAAAGCCUACCUAGGCUACGAUGGUUAGCGGGUCUGAGAGGAUGAUCCGCCACACUGGAACUGGAACACGGACCAGACUCCUACGGGAGGCAGCAGUGAGGAAUAUUGCGCAAUGGGGGAAACCCUGACGCAGUGACGCCGCGUGAGUGAAGAAGGUCUUCGGGUCGUAAAGCUCUGUCGGGUGGGAAGAAAUGAUUAUAGGUUAAUACCCUAUAGUUUUGACGGUACCAUAAAGGAAGCACCGCUAAAU
rnacentral:rRNA from 1 species